AUUGAACGCUGGCGGCAGGCCUAACACAUGCAAGUCGAGCGGAUGAAGGGAGCUUGCUCCCUGGAUUCAGCGGCGGACGGGUGAGUAAUGCCUAGGAAUCUGCCUGGUAGUGGGGGAUAACGUCCGGAAACGGGCGCUAAUACCGCAUACGUCCUGAGGGAGAAAGUGGGGGAUCUUCGGACCUCACGCUAUCAGAUGAGCCUAGGUCGGAUUAGCUAGUUGGUGGGGUAAAGGCCUACCAAGGCGACGAUCCGUAACUGGUCUGAGAGGAUGAUCAGUCACACUGGAACUGAGACACGGUCCAGACUCCUACGGGAGGCAGCAGUGGGGAAUAUUGGACAAUGGGCGAAAGCCUGAUCCAGCCAUGCCGCGUGUGUGAAGAAGGUCUUCGGAUUGUAAAGCACUUUAAGUUGGGAGGAAGGGCAGUAAGUUAAUACCUUGCUGUUUUGACGUUACCCACAGAAUAAGCACCGGCUAACUUCGUGCCA
rnacentral:rRNA from 1 species